GAAUAUCUUGACCUCAAAUCAGGUGGGACUACCCGCUGAC
rnacentral:rRNA from 1 species